CCUGAGUCCAUUUCUUCUCAUCCUGUCACUUGCUGCCUGAGAGAAGAGACCAACCCUCACCUGGCUACAACUUCCUUUCAGGGAACAUGCAACUUUCUCCUGGUAAAUGAACUUGGACACACUUCAGCCCCCAGUUAAUACAGCAGGAACUGCAUGUACAAGCAGGUCCAAGUAAGUCCGGGGUGGAUCUAGCUUCACUGUCUCUGAUUAUAUCUGUGGGCAAAAGAAGAGAGAGGAAGAAAGAGAAAAAACAUUGUCAGACUGACAAGGUUAGACCAAAACUAAGCAAGGAGGAAAACAGCUCUUCUACUCCAGGAUGUGAAUAGCAGAAAGUGCUUCUCAUUAUUUCAUCCAUAGCUGUCUUCUUAAAAGCACACUAAGGUUUUGCAUCACCUUGGUAACUGUAGAUCUUGGAGCAGAUGUUUUAAAUACGAUAAAGACAAUGGCAGUAUGUCCUCUUGCUAUGAAACUCCCAGCAAGUGGACGUGGUCCAGAAUUCCAUUCCAGAAGAUGAUUUCACAACAGUGAAUUAAAUCAGGAUUUCUACUCACAGGUUUUUCAACAGAUUUCAAUGUUAGGUAUUUGUUGGAGCCUGGUACCUAUUUUGAUAUUUUCCCUGAAAACUCAGAGCUAUCAUAUUACUCAAAGGAUGGAAAACGCAAUAGUCAGACAAAACCAGUUAGUAUCAAAAGAAAUACAAAACUGUGUAUUUUUUCAUCACUUUGUAUAUUUUGUAUA